UACGGAGGGAGCUAGCGUUGUUCGGAAUUACUGGGCGUAAAGCGCACGUAGGCGGCUAUUCAAGUCAGAGGUGAAAGCCCGGGGCUCAACCCCGGAACUGCCCUUGAAACUGGGAAGCUAGAAUCUUGGAGAGGCGAGUGGAAUUCCGAGUGUAGAGGUGAAAUUCGUAGAUAUUCGGAAGAACACCAGUGGCGAAGGCGACUCGCUGGACAAGUAUUGACGCUGAGGUGCGAAAGCGUGGGGAGCAAACAGG
rnacentral:rRNA from 1 species